rnacentral:rRNA from 1 species
UGCCUACGGGACGCAGCAGUAGGGAAUUUUCGUCAAUGGGCGCAAGCCUGAACGAGCGAUGCCGCGUGAGUGAAGAAGGCCUUCGGGUCGUAAAGCUCUGUUGCGGGGGAAAAAAGGCAGCAUCAGGAAAUGGGUGCUGACUAAUGGUGCCCCGCCAGAAAGUCACGGCUAACUACGUGCCAGCAGCCGCGGUAAUACGUAGGUGGCGAGCGUUAUCCGGAAUGAUUGGGCGUAAAGGGUGCGCAGGCGGUUCCAUUAGU